rnacentral:lncRNA from 1 species
AAGAACCGUAAGGGAUCUUCAGUUUCCGGUGCACGUCGAUCGGAUAAUCGAAAGGUGCCUCAUCUUCAUUGACCGUUCAGAAUAAAAGUUAAAUCUUCCCAAUUAUCGAGUUGAUAGAGUAAUAGAGAAAGAUAUAUAUAGAAUGUGUGUGUGUGUGUGUUUGUGUAUUAGAUAGAAAGAGUAGGACAAAGUCAACGAUGAAAGUUUCAUCAGGAAGCGUCUAUCAGGGUGUCGGUGGACCGUGGAAGAUAUGUGAGCGUUCAAUGUUUAACUACGUGAUACUCUCAUCAGUCGAGUGGACCCUUAGGAUCACUUUUAUCUUCUAUCUUUGUCCUUAGGGAGAUCUAAGAUGCUUUUCUUCUUCUUCUUCUUCCUCUUCUUCUUCUUAUUAUUAUUAUUUUUAUUCUCUUUUCUUUUCUUUAUGUUUCACACGUUACUGUCUUCUUCACUAAGUUAAGUUCCGUUUCAUUCUAUCUUUCACUCUCUUGAUGUUCCCACAAAGAAUCCCCCUCCCCUUCCCUUCCCACCCCCUAAAAUGGAACACAUAGGUUCGGUUCGAAACGUUCACCGUUUCAAGUGGAAAAUCCGUUAAGUAAACUUCCCAGUUAUAUCCACCUAUCCAGAGGAAAGGUGUGUAUGUGUGUGCAUGAUGCUGAGGUGGAGGCAGGGGAGGAGGAGGAGGUAAACACAACAGGUAUUUGAUACAUCAGCACCUUUCGCUAUUGGGCAACGUUCCAAGUUGUUAAAAGAACGUUCUUCAGAUAAAAAAAAACAAGAAAAAGAUCCGCAAUAAUUCCACCUUGAAAUAUAUUUAGAAAAAAAUCAACGAAAAAAUAAAAUAAAAUGAAGAAACAUCGUUCGUAAGCGCAAGGUUUUCGUGGAAUCAGUGGAAUAGUCAUUGGCAGAAUUCCAAAGAAGAGAGUUCACGAACGACGCGUCAGUUUCGACAUCGGGCCACAGGUGCGCCAAACGAGCAAAACAAGGGAUGCAGGAGGUUGCAAGAGCAACAAGAGAGAGACCUUUUAUCGAAGGUGCCAAGGAUAGGGAAAAAAAAAGAACAAAGAAAAAGAGAGGAGCAUUCGUGAAACGAUCGAGAACAAAAAAAAAGGGGGGAAAGAAACAAGACAUCGAAGUGGUUUAAAUACCCUCAAGGAAAAUACCACCCUCCCUUCUUUUUUUUUUUUCUUUCUUUCUUUCUUUCUUUUUUCCUUGCAUAUUUAACACACGUUAUCGAGAAUAUAAA